GGUACGGUAGUAAAAAAAAAUUGAAUCCCACCACUGGAAGGGAGGAAGGAAUAGACUUUGACAUGGAUUUGAGGGGAAGGAAUUUUAUCCAAUUACAAAUUUACAUAUUGUUUUCCAGUAGUGGAGGGAAGUUAUCCAAAGCUGAAUUAUGCAUUUCUUCUACUUUUAGCAGGCAUGACACAAACCAUAGGGGAGAGGAACCCCCUGAGCUAGUUUUCUAGGCCAGGUCUAUGACAUCUCGGGUCUGCCAUCUUGCCAGUGCCAUCUCAGAGUGGGACAGCACCUUGGGAAAAACUUGCUUUGCGACAACUUGCCGCGCCACUGUGGCACUUCCCUUCGCAGAAGGUAGCUGUCAGCCAUGGCGUUGGAAUGGGCCACAUCUUCGGAUCCAGGUCCGGCCUCCCAUGGGUCUGGCCGAUCAGUCAGUUCAGAGUGUGUCUGCUUGGCACAGCUAUCUACAGUUGCUGCCUGCAUGCGAAAGACACACCCUGCCUGCCAGAGAGGCCCUUUGCCUGAGCCACGUUUGGCUAUUUUUUUCCCCCGUGGGCUUUUGCAGGAGGGCGGCAUCCAUGCCAGUCUCAUCCACGCAGACUUCUCCUUCAGUGUGCUGCACUGGACUGUGACUGUUUCCAGGGGAGAGGAGCCAAGCAGGGGCAGCUUCAGUUUUCUGGCAACUGUAAAUGACUGCCACUUAGGCCAAUUUUUAUGGAGGGGGGUUUGCCCUCUGAAGGCUUCCUCGCCUCACUUUCCAGCAUCUCAUCCCCACCCCCCCCAACAGACAGCUGUGCGUAGUGGACACUCUCUAACCUGACCAGACAGCUGCACCCACGGGAUGCCACAUUCAGAGAUGUGCUGUGGUUGAUGAUCACCUCCCGCGAAGGGAGAUGCUAUGAGAAGAAUAGCAAAUUGUCCCAGGGCGAAUUUCCCAUGGCAAUUUUAUCAUGUUGAGGUGGCUGUGACAAGAUGGUGGCAAGGAGUUGUCCCAUUUCAUUCCAGGCCUGCCUGCUCCAUUUGAAGAUGAAGACAUUUGUAACUUCCAUUUUCCUUCUUGCAUAAUACAGUCUAAGGGAUCAGAGGGGGACAGUUUCCAUCCUAGAGUCAGGCAAGCAUUCCAGAGGCUGGGAUUACCAGCCUGGGCUUUGUCCUUCAAUCAAGCUACUUUUGCAGGAGCUAUGAUCAUCUUCCUCGGCGCUUUUCCCUCUAUAAUGCCCCAGUUUCAGCUUAACGUUUGUGGAAUGCCUGAAUUGAUAGAUGUAUGCCGUGUGGUGCCAUUCUUCAUGGCAUCUCAACCAAAUUUGUGAGGAUCUGAGGAUAAGAGUGAAUGGACCUCUGGAAUGAAGACCUGCUGAUUUCUCUUCCAUUAAAGAUGGGAUUGAUCCUCUUAACCAUGGAGUUCUGCUAUUGGAUUUAGGCAAAUAAUCAUUAUUUUCUGUGUCUGAUCCUCUCACUUCUUCUCUCCUAGUUCCUUAUUAUGCUUUCCAGACCAUGGCCUAAUAUGUUUUUGCUAUAGAAAUGAUCUUACCAAGAAUCAGUGAUUUUCACUGACUUUCCUACCUCUUAUAAUUUAUAGGUUUCACUCCUGAAAUCUUCCUGUGGCUUCUAUGUAAGGCACUUUGUAAAGUGCUGUUCAGUUUCUAUCCUACAAAAUAGGAUAGAAAUUUCUUAUUGCUUCAGUCUGAUAUAUUCUGGGACUAAUGACCCUAUCAUUUUGAAGCAGGCUAUUUGUUUUUGUUUUUUCCUUAAUUCUGUAGGAAUUUAAAUAAAUCCGGCAUCUACGGCUGAAGGCAAUUCUGUUUCAUCAGUUGAAGUUGUGGCUUCCUUUACUUCCUCUCAUCUGGUAUAGGAGACU